UCGACGGAGAGUUUGAUCCUGGCUCAGGACGAACGCUGGCGGCGUGCCUAACACAUGCAAGUCGAGCGGGGUCCAACCAGUGGCAACACUGGGGAAGACCUAGCGGCGAACGGGUGAGUAACACGUGAGAAACCUACCCCGAAGACUGGGAUAACUCCGGGAAACCGGAGCUAAUACCGGAUGCCCUCACCAGGCCGCAUGACCAGGUGAGGAAAUGGACUCCGCUUCGGGAGGGUCUCGCGGCCUAUCAGCUUGUUGGUGAGGUAAUGGCUCACCAAGGCUUCGACGGGUAGCUGGUCUGAGAGGACGAUCAGCCACACUGGGACUGAGACACGGCCCAGACUCCUACGGGAGGCAGCAGUGGGGAAUCUUGCGCAAUGGGCGAAAGCCUGACGCAGCAACGCCGCGUG
rnacentral:rRNA from 1 species